rnacentral:rRNA from 1 species
UACGGAGGGUGCGAGCGUUAAUCGGAAUUACUGGGCGUAAAGGGUGCGUAGGUGGUUUGGUAAGUUAUCUGUGAAAUUCCUGGGCUUAACCUAGGCGGGUCAGAUAAUACUGCUGGACUUGAGUAUGGGAGAGGGUAGUGGAAUUUCCGGUGUAGCGGUGAAAUGCACAGAGAUCGGAAGGAACACCGGUGGCGAAGGCGGCUCACUGGCUCAUUACUGACGCUCAGGCGCGACAGCGUGGGGAUCAAACAGG